UACGUAGGGUGCAAGCGUUGUCCGGAAUUAUUGGGCGUAAAGCGCGUGUAGGCGGCUUGGCAAGUCGGGUGUGAAAUCCCUCAGCUCAACUGAGGAAGUGCGCCCGAAACUGCUUUGCUUGAGUGUCGGAGAGGAUGGCGGAAUUCCCCAAGUAGAGGUGAAAUUCGUAGAUAUGGGGAGGAACACCGGUGGCGAAGGCGGCCAUCUGGACGACAACUGACGCUGAGACGCGAAAGCGUGGGGAGCAAACAGG
rnacentral:rRNA from 1 species